rnacentral:rRNA from 1 species
UAGGGAAUUUUCGUCAAUGGGCGCAAGCCUGAACGAGCAAUGCCGCGUGAGCGAAGAAGGUCUUCGGAUCGUAAAACUCUGUUGCGGGGGAAAAAGGAAGGGAAGAGGAAAUGCUUUUCUUUUGAUGGUACCCCGCCAGAAAGUCACGGCUAACUACGUGCCAGCAGCCGCGGUAAUACGUAGGUGGCAAGCGUUAUCCGGAAUGAUUGGGCGUAAAGGGUGCGCAGGCUGCGCGUCAAGUCUGAAGUGAAAGGUACGGGCUUAACCGGUACAGGCUUUGGAAACUGGCACGCUAGAGGACAGGAGAGGGCGGUGGAACUCCAUGUGUAGCGGUAAAAUGCGUAGAUAUAUGGAAGAACACCAGUUGCGAAGGCGACCGCCUGGACUGUUGCUGACGCUCAGGCACGAAAGCGUGGGGAGCAAAUAGGAUUAGAUACC